rnacentral:misc_RNA from 1 species
AAAAGUCGUAAACAAAGGUUUUCCGUAGGGGUAUGUUUCAAAUUUUUUCCGAAAGGAAUCCAGCUAAACAUCCACAGUGAACCUGCGGAAGGAUCAUUACCGAGUUUUCCGAACAGGAACUCCCACCCUUGACCAUCCGACGUUGCUUCGGCGAGACGUUGGCAACAGCCGUUGGCGGAAGAUCAAUUCUGCCGGCGCGGGCUCGCCGGAGUUUAACUCCAAAAAUUUUGUACUGUCAGAUAAACAAGCAAUGAAAAAAA